CCAAAUUCUUCCAAGUUCCUUCUCCAAAACUUUCUCUCUCUAAAAACUUGUAGAAGAGAUUAGGAUUUCAAGAUCAAGUCUCCAAAUUCACCAUCAAUUGUGGGCUUUGAACUAUAAGGACAUAUCUUAUAAAUUCGCACUUCCGUGACUAGGGAUAUCAUAUAGAAGAUUGAGGUUCGGUUCAGGUUCUCAACUUCCAGAUCAUGCAUAGAUAUAUUUCCGAUCUCCAAUUCAACAGAUUCAAUGAUGAUUCCUCAUUAUCCGAGGACAACAGUCAUGAGUUUUAUUUUAGUCAUUUAGUUUCAGUUUUUGCUAGACUUAGUUGGGGCU